rnacentral:rRNA from 1 species
CAGGCCUAACACAUGCAAGUCGAACGAAGCCUUCGGGCUUAGUGGCGCACGGGUGCGUAACGCGUGGGAAUCUGCCCUUGGGUACGGAAUAACUCAGAGAAAUUUGAGCUAAUACCGUAUGAUGUCGUAAGACCAAAGAUUUAUCGCCUUUGGAUGAGCCCGCGUUGGAUUAGCUAGUUGGUGGGGUAAAGGCCUACCAAGGCGACGAUCCAUAGCUGGUCUGAGAGGAUGAUCAGCCACACUGGGACUGAGACACGGCCCAGACUCCUACGGGAGGCAGCAGUGGGGAAUAUUGGACAAUGGGCGAAAGCCUGAUCCAGCAAUGCCGCGUGAGUGAUGAAGGCCUUAGGGUUGUAAAGCUCUUUUACCCGGGAAGAUAAUGACUGUACCGGGAGAAUAAGCUCCGGCUAACUCCGUGCCAGCAGCCGCGGUAAU